AAUGCCAUUUUAAAAGAGGCAGAACAAAGACUGGGAACAUGAUGGCGGGCAGACGCAUCCUUCUUCAACUAACAUUCAAAUUAUUGAAAAGGGGAAAAACAGUGAGUAUUUUCUCUCCUUCCCUUUCCCCAGCACACACACACACACACACACACACUGACAUGCUCAUUUCAGUACAGAUUGUUGAAACCGAUGAUGGCCAGCUGAGGGUAGGAGCAGACGGGACAAGAAAAGAAGAUUCCAUAGUGAGUACUCCAUCACGAAUCGUGAAUGAGUGAAAGGCGUGCACUAUAGGACAGCUGGUGAAUAUGCAUGGGGAGGGAAGAGGAAACAGAGAAGCAAAGACGUUGGGGUAAACAGGUAGGACGUGUUUGAAGAGAAAGUGAGAAGAGCAGAUAGGAAGGAGAGGGAAGAUCAGGGUUAAAUGACCUGGAAAGAGGCAGGAUCAGGGAGGAGCAUCGUGUAGAGAAAGAGUGU